rnacentral:rRNA from 1 species
CCUACGGGGGGCUGCAGUGGGGAAUUUUGGACAAUGGGGGCAACCCUGAUCCAGCCAUUCCGCGUGAGUGAAGAAGGCCUUCGGGUUGUAAAGCUCUUUCGCAAGGGAAGAAAACUUAUGAUCGAAUAAAUCAUGAGGUUGACGGUACCUUGAUAAGAAGCACCGGCUAACUACGUGCCAGCAGCCGCGGUAAUACGUAGGGUGCGAGCGUUAAUCGGAAUUACUGGGCGUAAAGCGUGCGCAGGCGGUUAUAUAAGACAGAUGUGAAAUCCCCGGGCUCAACCUGGGACCUGCAUUUGUGACUGUAUAGCUGGAGUACGGUAGAGGGGGAUGGAAUUCCGCGUGUAGCAGUGAAAUGCGUAGAUAUGCGGAGGAACACCGAUGGCGAAGGCAAUCCCCUGGACCUGUACUGACGCUCAUGCACGAAAGCGUGGGGAGCAAACAGGAUUAGAUACCCUGGUAGUCCACGCCCUAAACGAUGUCAACUAGUUGUUGGUAGAGUAAAAUCUAUGAGUAACGUAGCUAACGCGUGAAGUUGACCGCCUGGGGAGUACGGUCGCAAGAUUAAAACUCAAAGGAAUUGACGGA